rnacentral:rRNA from 1 species
UACGUAGGGUGCAAGCGUUAAUCGGAAUUACUGGGCGUAAAGCGUGCGCAGGCGGUUCUGCAAGUCAGGCGUGAAAUCCCCGGGCUUAACCUGGGAAUGGCGCUUGAAACUACGGGACUGGAGUAUGGCAGAGGGAGGUGGAAUUCCACGUGUAGCGGUGAAAUGCGUAGAGAUGUGGAGGAACACCGAUGGCGAAGGCAGCCUCCUGGGCCAAUACUGACGCUCAUGCACGAAAGCGUGGGGAGCAAACAGG